rnacentral:rRNA from 1 species
CGGCGGACGGGUGAGUAACGCGUGGGUAACCUACCCUGUACACACGGAUAACAUACCGAAAGGUAUGCUAAUACGGGAUAAUAUAUUUGAGAGGCAUCUCUUGAAUAUCAAAGGUGAGUCAGUACAGGAUGGACCCGCGUCUGAUUAGCUAGUUGGUAAGGUAACGGCUUACCAAGGCGACGAUCAGUAGCCGACCUGAGAGGGUGAUCGGCCACAUUGGAACUGAGACACGGUCCAA